rnacentral:rRNA from 1 species
UACGUAGGGGUGCGAGCGUUAAUCGGAAUUACUGGGCGUAAAGCGUGCGCAGGCGGUUCGCCAAGUCAGGUGUGAAAUCCCCGGGCUUAACCUGGGAAUUGCGCUUGAAACUAGCGGGCUUGAGUGUGGCAGAGGGGGGUGGAAUUCCACGUGUAGCAGUGAAAUGCGUAGAGAUGUGGAGGAACACCGAUGGCGAAGGCAGCCCCCUGGGCCAACACUGACACUCAUGCACGAAAGCGUGGGGAGCAAACAGG